UACGUAGGGGGCUAGCGUUGUCCGGAAUCAUUGGGCGUAAAGCGCGUGUAGGCGGUCCGGUAAGUCCGCUGUGAAAGUCGGGGGCUCAACCCUCGGAUGCCGGUGGAUACUGUCGGGCUUGAGUACGGAAGAGGCGAGUGGAAUUCCUGGUGUAGCGGUGGAAUGCGCAGAUAUCAGGAGGAACACCAAUAGCGAAGGCAGCUCGCUGGGACGUUACUGACACUGAGGCGCGAAAGCUAGGGGAGCGAACGGG
rnacentral:rRNA from 1 species